CCACAGGCUCGUGUCGGCCUCAUCUCGUCACAACACUUUGGGGGGGGGGCUGAUGGGACCAUUGGUCUGUCUUUUUGUCUCAGUGGUCCUGUUUAGAAAGCCGCCGCUGCUCUGACCUCUCAGUAGAAGACAAAACAAACCAGGAAACCCCGGAGGGGGGUUAGUUCAUCAAGGACUUGGGAGCGAGACCCCGGCCAAAGCAAGUUGUCCAAGGUUUCUACAGAAGCGAGCACUGAGCUUCCAGAAGGAGUUUUCCUGCGAGGACAAAGACGAUCCAACCAGAAGCAACAAGGAUAUAGAUGUUAGUCUCCCAAAAGGUUAGUAGAUCAGAA